rfam:Ophiophagus hannah scaffold1248.1, whole genome shotgun sequence.
ACCAUGGCUCCUUUAAGAGCCACCAAGUUUAUAUGUAGUGUAAUGU